rnacentral:rRNA from 1 species
UACGUAGGGGGCAAGCGUUGUCCGGAUUUAUUGGGCGUAAAGAGCGUGUAGGCGGCCAAGCAGGUCAGCUGUGAAAACUCGAGGCUCAACCUCGAGACGUCGGUUGAAACCGCUUGGCUAGAGUCCGGAAGAGGAGAGUGGAAUUCCCGGUGUAGCGGUGAAAUGCGCAGAUAUCGGGAAGAACACCCGUGGCGAAGGCGGCUCUCUGGGACGGUACUGACGCUGAGACGCGAAAGCGUGGGAGCGAACAGG